UAGCGCCUUCACCAUUAUCAACAAGAAUAAUCUUUCUUGGCCUUCUCAAUGUUCAUGUAACUUUAAACAUAAUCAUAAUUACAUUAACUUUUAUCUAUCCUCAACGAUUGGAUCAAAUGAUUCGUAACAACAUCCACAAACUGUUGACUCGAUCUAUCAUAAAACCAGCCAUUAAGAUUAAACUGGAAGAAGCUUUGUUCAUGAUGGAAUCUUAUCCAAUGGGAUUCCGAUGUUUCCAUUUUUUCAGAUUCAAUUCAUCAAGCUUAUUAUUGACUUUACUUGAACUUGGUGCUCAUAUGUUACUGAUUGUACUAGCUGUGCCGAGAGUAAAUCAUUGAAUCUAUUGCCAAAUGCUAGCAUGUUAACCUAAUGGAUUGCUAGAAUGAACCCGAAACGUACAUUACCUGACAAAUCAUUGAUACUAAUCUGUUUUGUGAACUAAUCU